rnacentral:miRNA from 1 species
UUGAAGAAUAUGUCUGGUUGAUCCAGUCCACUUAAUUCUGAGAAAGAAUCCACAGAUUGGACCGGGUCUUGGAUUUUAGCUGGAUUCAUUGACUGGGCUAUAUUUGUCAUA